GAUGAACGCUGGCGGCGUGCCUAAUACAUGCAAGUCGAGCGAACAGACGCGGAGCUUGCUCCUCUGACGUUAGCGGCGGACGGGUGAGUAACACGUGGAUAACCUACCUAUCAGACUGGGAUAACUUCGGGAAACCGGAGCUAAUACCGGAUAAUAUAUUGAACCGCAUGGUUCAAUAGUGAAAGACGGUUUUGCUGUCACUUAUAGAUGGAUCCGCGCCGCAUUAGCUAGUUGGUAAGGUAACGGCUUACCAAGGCAACGAUGCGUAGCCGACCGGAGAGGGUGGUCGGCCACCCUGGAAGGGAGACACGGUCCAGACUCCUACGGGAGGCAGCAGUAGGGAAUCUUCCGCAGUGGGCGAAAGCCUGGCGGAGCAACGCCGCGUGAGUGAUGAAGGUCUUCGGAUCGUAAAGCUCGGUUAUUAGGGAAGAACAAAUGUGGAAGGAACUAUGCACGGCUUGACGGUACCUAGUCAGAAAGCCACGGCUAACUACGUG
rnacentral:rRNA from 1 species